GACGAACGCUGGCGGCGUGCCUAAUACAUGCAAGUCGAGCGGACCACUUCGGUGGUCAGCGGCGGACGGGUGAGUAACACGUGGGCAACCUGCCUGUAAGACUGGGGUGACACCGGGAAACCGGUGCUAAUACCGGAUAAUCCUUUCCUUCACAUGAGGGAAAGCUGAAAGACGGUUUCGGCUGUCACUUACAGAAGGGCCCGCGGCGCAUUAGCUAGUUGGUGAGGUAACGGCUCACCAAGGCAACGAUGCGUAGCCGACCUGAGAGGGUGAUCGGCCACACUGGGACUGAGACACGGCCCAGACUCCUACGGGAGGCAGCAGUAGGGAAUCUUCCGCAAUGGACGAAAGUCUGACGGAGCAACGCCGCGUGAGCGAUGAAGGCCUUCGGGUCGUAAAGCUCUGUUGUCAGGGAAGAACAAGUACCGGAGUAACUGCCGGUACCUUGACGGUACCUGACCAGAAAGCCACGGCUAACUACGUGCCAGCCGCCGCAGUAACAC
rnacentral:rRNA from 1 species